rnacentral:snoRNA from 1 species
CCCCUCUCAGGGUCACACCUGGAGAGUUUCCAGUACUCUACCGAUCUCGGCUAUGGGAGGGAGAAUCAAGCAGAGUCAUAUCCAUUCCGUUCCUAGCUUGGGCAGUAGCUAGUGAGUGGAAGGCAAUCUGCUACAAGU